AUUGAACGCUGGCGGCAGGCCUAACACAUGCAAGUCGAGCGGAGCGGCGGACGGGUGAGUAAUGCAUAGGAAUCUGCCUGGUAGUGGGGGAUAACGUACGGAAACGGGCGCUAAUACCGCAUACUAUCAGAUGAGCCUAGGUCGGAUUAGAUAGUUGGUGGGGUAAAGGCCGACCAAUGCGACGAUCCGUAACUGGGCUGAGAGGAUGAUCAGUCACACUGGAACUUCGACACGGUCCAGACUCCUACGGGAGGCAGCCGUGGGGAAUAUUGGACAAUGGGCGCAAGCCUGAUCCAGCCAUGCCGCGUGUGUGAAGGAGGUCUUCGGAUUGUAAAGCACUUUAAGUUGGGAGGCGUUACCAACAGAAUAAGCACCGGCUAACUUCGUGCCAGCAGCCGCGGUAAUUC
rnacentral:rRNA from 1 species